rnacentral:rRNA from 1 species
UACGAAGGGUGCAAGCGUUACUCGGAAUUACUGGGCGUAAAGCGUGCGUAGGUGGUUUGUUAAGUCUGUUGUGAAAGCCCCGGGCUCAACCUGGGAAUGGCAAUGGAUACUGGCAGGCUAGAGUGCGGUAGAGGGUAGUGGAAUUCCCGGUGUAGCAGUGAAAUGCGUAGAGAUCGGGAGGAACACCAGUGGCGAAGGCGGCUACCUGGACCAGCACUGGCACUGAAGCACGAAAGCGUGGGGAGCAAACAGG